UGCAGUCGAGCGGGCCCUUCGGGGUCAGCGGCAGACGGGUGAGUAACGCGUGGGAACGUACCAUUUGCUACGGAAUAACUCAGGGAAACUUGUGCUAAUACCGUAUGAGCCCCCCUUUAAAAUUUCAGGAAUCAUAAAAUGCCCUGGCAUUUUAUGGGGGGGAAAGAUUUAUCGGCAAAUGAUCGGCCCGCGUUGGAUUAGCUAGUUGGUGGGGUAAAGGCCUACCAAGGCGACGAUCCAUAGCUGGUCUGAGAGGAUGAUCAGCCACACUGGGACUGAGACACGGCCCAGACUCCUACGGGAGGCAGCAGUGGGGAAUAUUGGACAAUGGGCGCAAGCCUGAUCCAGCCAUGCCGCGUGAGUGAUGAAGGCCCUAGGGUUGUAAAGCUCUUUCACCGGUGAAGAUAAUGACGGUAACCGGAGAAGAAGCCCCGGCUAACUUCGUGCCAGCAGCCGCGGUAAUACGAAGGGGGCUAGCGUUGUUCGGAUUUACUGGGCGUAAAGCGCACGUAGGCGGGCUAAUAAGUCAGGGGUGAAAUCCCGGGGCUCAACCCCGGAACUGCCUUUGAUACUGUUAGUCUUGAGUAUGGUAGAGGUGAGUGGAAUUCCGAGUGUAGAGGUGAAAUUCGUAGAUAUUCGGAAGAACACCAGUGGCGAAGGCGG
rnacentral:rRNA from 2 species